rnacentral:rRNA from 1 species
ACAGCGAAAGGUGCUUGCACCUUUCAAGUGAGUGGCGAACGGGUGAGUAACACGUGGACAACCUGCCUCAAGGCUGGGGAUAACAUUUGGAAACAGAUGCUAAUACCGAAUAAAACUUAGUGUCGCAUGACAAAAAGUUAAAAGGCGCUUCGGCGUCACCUAGAGAUGGAUCCGCGGUGCAUUAGUUAGUUGGUGGGGUAAAGGCCUACCAAGACAAUGAUGCAUAGCCGAGUUGAGAGACUGAUCGGCCACAUUGGGACUGAGACACGGCCCAAACUCCUACGGGAGGCUGCAGUAGGGAAUCUUCCACAAUGGGCGAAAGCCUGAUGGAGCAACGCCGCGUGUGUGAUGAAGGCUUUCGGGUCGUAAAGCACUGUUGUAUGGGAAGAACAGCUAGAAUAGGAAAUGAUUUUAGUUUGACGGUACCAUACCAGAAAGGGACGGCUAAAUACGUGCCAGCAGCCGCGGUAAUACGUAUGUCCCGAGCGUUAUCCGGAUUUAUUGGGCGUAAAGCGAGCGCAGACGGUUUAUUAAGUCUGAUGUGAAAGCCCGGAGCUCAACUCCGGAAUGGCAUUGGAAACUGGUUAACUUGAGUGCAGUAGAGGUAAGUGGAACUCCAUGUGUAGCGGUGGAAUGCGUAGAUAUAUGGAAGAACACCAGUGGCGAAGG